UCCCAUUUCUUCUUUUUGCUGGGCCCGCUCUGUCUUGGGGGGUAGGAAGGCGGCGGCGAUGAUGUGACUGCCGCAGACUUCAGGCUAAGGGAAGCUGCCGCAGAUUCUAGAACUCUACAGCUUUUUCUCUCAACAGAUAAUAAAAUGGCUACUUUGUACGGUGAAGCCUUGGGAUACGGCGGUGAACAAACAGCGAGCGGGGCUGUGAGGAAGCCCCUGCCCUAGGAGCGGUGACAGACCUUCAACACCCCCCAGCUCCGGCUAGAGCAACCCUGUGAGGAUAAUACCUUCAUUGACAGAUAAGAACACCGGAUCACAGUGGUCAAGUGUCUGAGUUCACAGAUCUGUCCCACCCCUUUCACCUUCCGGGACCAGCCCUGCCCUUUAUUACCCCCAUUGUACCUGGUGAGAAAACCAAGUUGUUCUGCCGCAAACGACAGCUGAGCUUUGGACCCUGUUAGGCUGACUCUCAAAGCUGCAGCUGACUCUCCUACUCACCCUACUUCAAGGGAAGACCCCACAAGCCAGCGCACGGGAAAGGAGGCCAGUCUCGGGAAGCUGGCACGCCCACUGUGGGGUCUGCGACUCUGACCCACGUUGCCCUCCUCAGCUCGCUCGGUCACACCCAGCCAGGACCUGGUCUGAGCUACACCCUAAAUCCCAAACUUCAGUAAUCUCUUUAGGCUCCUCACCCUGUGGAUGCCCUAAUCCUUAGUGACAGGGCUUCCUUUUGAACUCUAGCACUCACUGUAAAUCACUAGAUGGCUUAUCCUAAAUGGCGUGGUUCUUCAGGAGAACAUUAAGCCCCACACAGGGUGGGGGAGUCAACGGGAGGACGAUGUCAGCCUCUGAAAGCGGAGCUAAUACGUGGGGCAGAUCAAUUCAGCCAUCUGCCGACUAAUCCCCGCUCAAAGACAGUUUGCGCUACUGAUAGAGACCAGGGUGUGUCCUGAGAAGCCAUCUAAGUGACCGGCGCUUCUGAAGCCACAGUGAUCGCCAGAGAGUAUCUAAGAGCGUCGUCACCUAUCACGGGCGGGCGCUGAAACCUGAACUACGACUGGUUACCUGGGAAAGCCUCCCCAGAGCAGAGCAGAGCAGAGUGGUCGCUCAUUGGGUUCUAAAAUUGUGUUCUUAGGGGCGCCUGGGUGGCUCAUUUGGUCAAGUGUCUGCAUUCGGCUCAGGUCAUGAUCCUGGGUCCUGGGAUCGAGCCCCUCAUUGGGCUCCCUGCUCAGCGGGGAAUCUGCUUCUCCC